rnacentral:rRNA from 1 species
UACGUAGGUGGCGAGCGUUGUCCGGAUUUACUGGGCGUAAAGAGCGCGCAGGCGGUCGUAUAAGUCGAAUGUGAAAGCCCCCGGCUCAACUGGGGAGGGUCAUUCGAUACUGUUCGACUCGAAGGCAGGAGAGGGAAGUGGAAUUCCGGGUGUAGUGGUGAAAUGCGUAGAUAUCCGGAGGAACACCAGUGGCGAAGGCGACUUUCUGGCCUGUUCUUGACGCUGAGGCGCGAAAGCUAGGGGAGCAAACGGG